CAGUACCACGGUAAUACGGAGGGUGCAAGCGUUAUCCGGAUUUAUUGGGUUUAAAGGGUCCGUAGGCGGAUCUGUAAGUCAGUGGUGAAAUCUCACAGCUUAACUGUGAAACUGCCAUUGAUACUGCAGGUCUUGAGUAAAUUUGAAGUGGCUGGAAUAAGUAGUGUAGCGGUGAAAUGCAUAGAUAUUACUUAGAACACCAAUUGCGAAGGCAGGUCACUAAGAUUUAACUGACGCUGAUGGACGAAAGCGUGGGGAGCGAACAGGAUUAGAUACCCGCGUAGUCCCUGUCUCUUAUACA
rnacentral:rRNA from 1 species